GAGUGAACGCUGGCGGUAGGCCUAACCCAUGCAAGUCGAACGGCAGCACAGUAAGAGCUUGCUCUUACGGGUGGCGAGUGGCGGACGGGUGAGGAAUACAUCGGAAUCUACUUUUUCGUGGGGGAUAACGUAGGGAAACUUACGCUAAUACCGCAUACGGCCUACGGGUGAAAGCAGGGGAUCUUCGGACCUUGCGCGAUUGAAUGAGCCGAUGUCGGAUUAGCUAGUUGGCGGGGUAAAGGCCCACCAAGGCGACGAUCCGUAGCUGGUCUGAGAGGAUGAUCAGCCACACUGGAACGGAGACACGGUCCAGACUCCUACGGGAGGCAGCAGUGGGGAAUAUUGGACAAUGGGCGCAAGCCUGAUCCAGCCAUACCGCGUGGGUGAAGAAGGCCUUCGGGUUGUAAAGCCCUUUUGUUGGGAAAGAAAAGCAGCAGGUUAAUACCCCGCUGUUCUGACGGUACCCAAAGAAUAAGCACCGGCUAACUUCGUG
rnacentral:rRNA from 1 species